rnacentral:rRNA from 1 species
AUACGCAGGUGGCGAGCGUUGUCCGGAAUUACUGGGUGUAAAGGGCGCGUAGGCGGGGAUGUAAGUCAGAUGUGAAAUACCAUGGCUCAACCGUGGGGCUGCAUCUGAAACUAUGUUUCUUGAGUGCUGGAGAGGAAAGCGGAAUUCCUAGUGUAGCGGUGAAAUGCGUAGAUAUUAGGAGGAACACCAGUGGCGAAGGCGGCUUUCUGGACAGUAACUGACGCUGAGGCGCGAAAGCGUGGGGAGCGAACAGGAUGAGAUACCCUGGUAGUCCACGCCGUAAACGAUGGAUACUAGGUGUAGGAGGUAUCGACCCCUUCUGUGCCGGAGUAAACACAAUAAGUAUCCCACCUGGGGAGUACGGCCGCAAGGUUGAA